UACAGAGGUCUCAAGCGUUUGUUCGGAUUCAUUGGGCGUAAAGGGUGCGUAGGCGGCGCGGUAAGUCGGGUGUGAAAUCUCGGAGCUUAACUCCGAAACUGCAUUCGAUACUGCCGUGCUUGAGGACUGGAGAGGAGACUGGAAUUUACGGUGUAGCGGUGAAAUGCGUAGAUAUCGGAAGGAACGCCGGUGGCGAAAAGCGGCUUCCUGGUCCAGCACCGACGUCAGGCACGAAAGCGUGGGGAGCAAACAGGG
rnacentral:rRNA from 1 species